rnacentral:rRNA from 1 species
CAGUCGCCACGGGAAUACGGAGGGCGCGAGCGUUACCCGGAUUUACUGGGCGUAAAGGGCGUGUAGGCGGCCUGGGGCGUCCCAUGUGAAAGGCCACGGCUCAACCGUGGAGGAGCGUGGGAUACGCUCAGGCUAGAGGGUGGGAGAGGGUGGUGGAAUUCCCGGAGUAGCGGUGAAAUGCGCAGAUGCCGGGAGGAACGCCGAUGGCGAAGGCAGCCACCUGGUCCACUUCUGACGCUGAGGCGCGAAAGCGUGGGGAGCAAACCGGAUUAGAGACCCCGGUAGUCCCUGUCUCUUAUAA